rnacentral:rRNA from 1 species
CCUACGGGAGGCAGCAGUAGGGAAUUUUCGUCAAUGGGCGCAAGCCUGAACGAGCAAUGCCGCGUGAACGAGGAAGGUCUUCGGAUCGUAAAGUUCUGUUGAAGGGGAAAAAGAGCGGAGAGAGGAAAUGAACUCCGAUUGAUAUUACCCUUCGAGGAAGUCACGGCUAACUACGUGCCAGCAGCCGAAGUAAUACGUAGGUGGCGAGCGUUAUCUGGAAUGAUUGGGCGUAAAGGGUGCGUAGGCGGCCUGCUAAGUCUGGAGUGAAAGGUACCGGCUCAACCGGUAUAGGCUCUCGAAACUGGCGGGCUAGAGGGCAGGAGAGGGCGGUGGAACUCCAGGUGUAGCGGUAAAAUGCGUAAAUAUAUGGAAGAACACCAGUGGCGAAGGCGGCCGCCUGGCCUGUUACUGACGCUGAGGCACGAAAGCGUGGGGAGCAAAUAGGAUUAGAUACCCGUGUAGUC